rnacentral:rRNA from 1 species
UACAGAGGUCUCAAGCGUUGUUCGGAUUCAUUGGGCGUAAAGGGUGCGUAGGCGGCGCGGUAAGUCGGGUGUGAAAUCUCGGAGCUUAACUCCGAAACUGCAUUCGAUACUGCCGUGCUUUGAGGACUGGAGAGGAGACUGGAAUUUACGGUGUAGCGGUGAAAUGCGUAGAUAUCGUAAGGAAGACCAGUGGCGAAGGCGGGUCUCUGGACAGUUCCUGACGCUGAGGCACGAAGGCCAGGGGAGCAAACGGG